GCUGUGGAACUCCUACGGGAGGCAGCAGUGGGGAAUUUUGGACAAUGGGGGCAACCCUGAUCCAGCAAUGCCGCGUGAGUGAAGAAGGCCUUCGGGUUGUAAAGCUCUUUUGUCAGGGAAGAAACGGUGGUAGCUAAUAUCUAUUACUAAUGACGGUACCUGAAGAAUAAGCACCGGCUAACUACGUGCCAGCAGCCUGGGUAAUACGUAGGGUGCAAGCGUUAAUCGGAAUUACUGGGCGUAAAGCGUGCGCAGGCGGUUGUGUAAGUCAGAUGUGAAAUCCCCGGGCUCAACCUGGGAAUUGCAUUUGAGACUGCACGGCUAGAGUGUGUCAGAGGGGGGUAGAAUUCCACGAGUAGCGGUGAAAUGCGUAGAUAUGUGGAGGAAUACCGAUAGCGAAGGCAGCCCCCUGGGAUGACACUGACGCGCAUGCACGAAAGCGUGGGGAGAAAGCAGGAUUAGAUACCCCAGUAGUCCUACCACGU
rnacentral:rRNA from 1 species